rnacentral:rRNA from 1 species
GACGAACGCUGGCGGCGUGCUUAACACAUGCAAGUCGAACGGAAAGGCCCUGCUUUUGUGGGGUGCUCGAGUGGCGAACGGGUGAGUAACACGUGAGUAACCUGCCCUUGACUUUGGGAUAACUUCAGGAAACUGGGGCUAAUACCGGAUAGGAGCUCCUGCUGCAUGGUGGGGGUUGGAAAGUUUCGGCGGUUGGGGAUGGACUCGCGGCUUAUCAGCUUGGUGGUGGGGUAGUGGCUUACCAAGGCUUUGACGGGUAGCCGGCCUGAGCGGGUGACCGGCCACAUUGGGACUGAGAUACGGCCGAGACUCCUACGGGAGGCAGCAGUGGGGAAUAUUGCACAAUGGGCGGAAGCCUGAUGCAGCAACGCCGCGUGCGGGAUGACGGCCUUCGGGUUGUAAACCGCUUUCGCCUGUGACGAAGCGUGAGUGACGGUAAUGGGUAAAGAAGCACCGGCUAACUACGUG